rnacentral:rRNA from 1 species
AGCAGCCGCGGUAAUUCCAGCUCCAAUAGCGUAUAUUAAAGUUGUUGCAGUUAAAAAGCUCGUAGUUGAAUUUCGGGAUCAGUACGUUGGUCGUGCCUUCGGUACGUACUGGCGUUACUGGUUUCUACCUUCUGAGGAACUGUCAUGUCAUUAAUUUGGUGUGGCGGGAAAUCAGGACUGUUACUUUGAAAAAAUUAGAGUGUUUAAAGCAGGCUCGCGCUUGAAUACAUUAGCAUGGAAUAAUGAAAUAGGACGUUCGAUCCUAUUUUGUUGGUUUCUAGGAUUGACGUAAUGAUUAAUAGGGAUAGUUGGGGGCAUUAGUAUUCAAUUGUCAGAGGUGAAAUUCUUGGAUUUAUUGAAGACUAACUACUGCGAAAGCAUUUGCCAAGGAUGUUUUCUAUUAAUCAAGAACGAAAGUUAGGGGAUCGAAGACGAUCAGAUACCGUCGUAGUCUUAACCAUAAACUAUGCCGACUAGGGAUCGGAUGAUGUUAAUUUUUUAAUGUACUCAUUCGCGCCUUAAC